rnacentral:piRNA from 1 species
UCUGCAAAACGCUACGUUUCCUCUAAAGGGU